rnacentral:lncRNA from 10 species
CAUUAGGGUAGGCCCUACUUCAGUAUGACCGGUGUCUUUAGCAGAAGAAGAAAUCGGUACAGACACGCAGAGGGGAGGGCAUGUGAGGACAUGGGAAGGAAAUGCCACUUGCAAGCCAAGGAGAGAGGCCUCAGAAGAAACCAGCCCUCCUGACACCUUGAUCCUAGACUUCCAGCCUCCAGAACUACUUUUCUGUUUUGUUUUUUAGCCUAAAUGCUAUUGAAAAGAGCAGAGAAGAUAGAGUGCAGGCCCCUAGAGACAGGAUGGAACGAAACACGCAGUGUGCAUCUGUGUCCUGCUCAGCAUACGCUCUUGGUCCCCACUGGGCCAUCUCGCUGCUGACUGGCAUCCCGAAGAACAGGCAGAUUGCACAGGGGCAGCUCUUUCCUCCAAAGCUGCAAUGUGGUGCAUGAAGUCCUCAGAUUUGGGAACUCAUACAGGCACUUGAGCUCAAACAUACAGUUCUGAUCUAAGACAUCACAGGUAAGAAUAUCCAAAAAGGUGAGCUUUCCCCCUGGAAACCAUGACUUCCUCAGAAACAAGGAGAAAUGUUUCAGCUGCCCAGGUUGCAGUUCCGAGUAUGGAGGCUUCCAUGUUUCAUGUCAGGGUCAUGGUGGAGCUGUUUCAGCUGCAGGUGGUAUUCCACCAUUUGGUCCUCCCUGAUGUCUCCUGGCACCUUUCCUUCUUCAGUCUCAGCACUCUGAAGAAGCGUGCUUGUGAGCGCCGCGGGACGAUCCAGGAUGUCCAGGAUUGUGGACGAUCCUGUUCUUCCCAUCUGUGAGGUAAGGCAGAUUAGGAAUGUCCACGUCUAGCUUGAAUUUCACAUCCAGCCAUUGGCUGCCACCAUGGCCAGGGGCUUCUGCAGAUGGAUCACCGUUUCCCUCCCAGGAGCAGGCAGGUGUCCAGUAUCAGCCCCAGAACAUCCCGGUCACCCAUCUCCAUAGGGCUUGGAUGACAUGAUGAUGCUCUCUGUGCCUCUGAGGACGGCGCCUUGGGUCUUUGUACACUAAAUCCCACCUUGUCCUCUCCUCUAUUUGAAACAGCCAUUUCCCAAAUCCCAAUCUGAUGAAAUCCUGUUCUUCCUUCCCUCAUGUUUCUCUAGGCCUCCUGUGGACUCCCAGAAUGUAAAGUCAGCAUUCCCUUGAGCCUUUUGGGGACUUAUAAGCACAUGGCCCAAGGUCCACCUAACUCUAGGUGUAUCCUGUAGAACCAGUAUUCUAAUCCUAACUUUAAAGAUCUUACAGGACCAUAGGGUGUGCGUAAAAAGCCUGCUGCAAAUCAGAGUGCUUCAACUGCGUAUUAAUGAGAUGGAGGAAAGAGGCUGUGAGUGCAGACAAUGAGUCCCUGAGUAAAUAGACUCCAGAGCCAAAGGUGUUCUCCACACCGAAAGAAUGACUGUACCCAGGGAAGGAGCUCAGACUCACCUGGACAAACCCUGAGGGGACAGCCAUGUUCCAGUGUGGCUAGGAGGGUCUGGAGCUGGGCACGUCCCCCAUGUCUGCUUGAUUCCCCUCUGGCCGAGUUCUACUCAGGUGAGUUGUGCUCAUUCUUGCUUCCCCAGGGCCUGGAUCACAGUUCCUCAAGCUUUGGGAUACAAACGAAUCACCUGGGAUUUGGAUAAAAUGCAGAUUCGUGUUCAGCAGCCCUGGCAUUCUGCAUUUCUCAUGAGCUCCAGGGAGACGCUGGUGCUGCUGGGGCAGGACCACACUUUGGGUGGCAAGGGCUUGGCAGGCAAUUCCAGGUGUCACCCUAGAGAUGGCCUGCUAUUGCACUGUCAGUAGGUAGCUGCCACAGUGACGGCCGCUCCAGAUCAAGGGGAGGACCUUUUGAAAAGGGUCCUUGAAUCAUUUGGGAAAUAAAUCAAGCCAUAUGAG